UACGUAGGGGGCAAGCGUUGUCCGGAAUCAUUGGGCGUAAAGCGCGCGUAGGCGGCCUGGUAAGUCCGCUCUGAAAGUCCAGGGCUCAACCCUGGAAAGCGGGUGGAUACUGCCGGGCUAGAAUCCGGAAGAGGCGAGUGGAAUUCCUGGUGUAGCGGUGGAAUGCGCAGAUAUCAGGAGGAACACCAAUAGCGAAGGCAGCUCGCUGGGACGGUAUUGACGCUAAGGCGCGAAAGCGUGG
rnacentral:rRNA from 1 species